rnacentral:rRNA from 1 species
UGCUUAGGCGGAAUAUUAAGUCAGUGGUGAAAUCCUGCGGCUCAACCGUAGAACUGCCAUUGAUACUGAUAUUCUUGAAUGUAGUUGAGGUAGGCGGAAUGUGUAAUGUAGCGGUGAAAUGCUUAGAUAUUACACAGAACACCGAUUGCGAAGGCAGCUUACUAAACUAUGAUUGACGCUGAUGCACGAAAGCGUGGGGAGCGAACAGGAUUAGAUACCCUGGUAGUCC